rnacentral:hammerhead_ribozyme from 1 species
GUCUAGCUGACAAGUCUCAAAUAGGGCGAAAGGUGCGUCCUAAAU